UACAGAGGGUGCGAGCGUUGUCCGGAAUCACUGGGCGUAAAGCGUCUGUAGGUGGUCAAAUAAGUCAACUGUUAAAUCUUGAGGCUCAACCUCAAAAUCGCAGUCGAAACUAUUAGACUAGAGUAUAGUAGGGGUAAAGGGAAUUUCCAGUGGAGCGGUGAAAUGCGUAGAGAUUGGAAAGAACACCGAUGGCGAAGGCACUUUACUGGGCUAUUACUAACACUCAGAGACGAAAGCUAGGGUAGCAAAUGGG
rnacentral:rRNA from 1 species